CCCGGAGGCGAAGGACACGCGAGGCCACCACAAUGGCCAUGAACCGCCACUGCACUGGACCUCAGGACCUUGGGACCUGAAGGACGAAACGCCACCUCCGUGCCAAUGCCAAGAUGGAAGAGACAGAGGUAGAGGAGGAGGCAACGCGUCAAGGCCAGAGGGGGCGCGAGGAGAGGGCAGCAGAGUAAUGGCACAGGUCUGGUCUGGUCUGGAGUCCUAGA
rnacentral:lncRNA from 1 species